UACGUAGGGGGCAAGCGUUGUCCGGAUGCAUUGGGCGGAAAGAGCGUGUAGGCGGCCAGGUAGGUCGGUUGUGAAAACUGGAGGCUCAACCUUCAGAGGUCGACCGAAACCAUCUGGCUAGAGUCCGGGAGAGGAGAGUGGAAUUCCUGGUGUAGCGGUGAAAUGCGCAGAUAUCAGGAAGAACACCCGUGGCGAAAGCGGCUCUCUGGAACGGUACUGACGCUGAGACGCGAAAGCGUGGGGAGCGAACAGG
rnacentral:rRNA from 1 species